rnacentral:rRNA from 1 species
CCUACGGGAGGCAGCAGUGGGGAAUUUUGGACAAUGGGCGCAAGCCUGAUCCAGCCAUGCCGCGUGAGUGAAGAAGGCCUUCGGGUUGUAAAGCUCUUUCAGGUGGAAAGAAAUCGCAUGCUCUAAUACCGGGUUUGGAUGACGGUACCACCAGAAGAAGCACCGGCUAACUACGUGCCAGCAGCCGCGGUAAUACGUAGGGUGCGAGCGUUAAUCGGAAUUACUGGGCGUAAAGCGUGCGCAGGCGGUUGUGUAAGACAGGUGUGAAAUCCCCGGGCUUAACCUGGGAACUGCGCUUGUGACUGCACAGCUAGAGUACGGCAGAGGGGGGUGGAAUUCCACGUGUAGCAGUGAAAUGCGUAGAGAUGUGGAGGAACACCGAUGGCGAAGGCAGCCCCCUGGGCCUGUACUGACGCUCAUGCACGAAAGCGUGGGGAGCAAACAGGAUUAGAUACCCUGGUAGUCCACGCCCUAAACGAUGUCGACUAGUUGUUCGGAGAGGAAACUUUCUGGGUAACGCAGCUAACGCGGAAGUCGACCGCC